rnacentral:rRNA from 1 species
AUUGAACGCUGGCGGCAGGCUUAACACAUGCAAGUCGAGCGGAUGAAGCGAGCUUUCUCCUGGUUCCAGCGGCGGACGGGUGUGUAAUGCCCAGGAAUCUGCCUGGUAGUGCUUUAUAAUGUCCUGAAACGGGUGCUAAUACUGCCUACGUCCUGAGCCAGCUACUUGGUGAUCUUCGGAACUCUUGCUAUGUGAUGAGCCUAGGUCGGAUUAGUUAGUUGGUUGGUUAAAGGCCUACCUAGGCGACGAUUCGUAACUGGUCUGAGAGGAUGAUCAGUCACACUAGAGCUGGGACACGGUCAAGACUCCUACGGGACGCAGCAGUGGGGAAUGGUGGGCAGAGGGCGAGAGCCUGAUACAGCCAGGGCGAGUGCGAGGAGGAGGUCUUCGGAGUGUGAAGAACGUUAAGUUGGGAGAAAGGGCAGUAGGUUGAUACCUAGCUGUUUUGACGUUACCAGGAGAAUAAGCACCGGCUAACUUCGUG